CAACCAUCCAGAGCGGCUGAGAGAUCUGGCUCCUUGACGCCGCAGCAACCCGAGCAACUGCUUGCGGGUGCUUCCGCCAGAAUCGAUGGAGG
rnacentral:ncRNA from 2 species